GGGAGAUGAGGAGUGGUAUAAGCUCGCGAGUUAUUAUGCGAGAGGGGGUGCCCGCCCCAAAUAAGCCUGUUACGACACAGGGGCGCCCCCAAUGACUUUACCAUCUGAUCCC
rnacentral:snoRNA from 1 species